AUUGAACGCUGGCGGAAUGCUUUACACAUGCAAGUCGAACGGUAGAGGGGGCAACCCCUCGAGAGUGGCGAACGGGUGAGUAAUAUAUCGGAACGUGCCCAGUAGUGGGGGAUAACGUAGCGAAAGUUACGCUAAUACCGCAUACGAUCUAAGGAUGAAAGCGGGGAUCGCCAGACCUCGCGCGAUUGGAGCGGCCGAUAGCAGAUUAGGUAGUUGGAGGGGUAAAGGCUCACCAAGCCAACGAUCUGUAGCUGGUCUGAGAGGACGACAAGGCAACCUGGAACAGAGACACGGUCCAGACUCCUGCGCGAGGAAGCAGUGGGGAAUUUUGGACAAGGGACGCAAGGCUGAUCCAGCCAUUCGGCGUGCAGGAUGAAGGCCCUCGGGUUGGAAACUGCUUUUGUACGGAACGAAAAGGUCUCUCUUAAUACGGGGGGCUCACGACGGUACCGUAAGAAUAAGCACCGGCUAACUACGUGCCAGCCGCCGCGGUAA
rnacentral:rRNA from 1 species